rnacentral:lncRNA from 1 species
AUUGGAUGACCCACGUGUCUUCAGGUCUCCCAGAUCGAACAACUGGAUGAAUUUUUUAAAUAAGCGCGAUCGGACGGUCCACGUGCCUCCACGCCUCUCGGGAUGGAUGGUCCAGAUUGGUUGAAGAGAGGUAUUUAAACUUCUCUUCAGUCAGCCCCAAAACCCUAGACGACGUAGGGCGACUAGAGAAGAAGAAGAAGGGUGGUCGAAAGAGAGCUCAGUUGCUGGAGAAACGUCGGCCCCAUCAUACCAGAACCCCAAAAUGCAUCAGUAAGCCCAAAUUUUCUUCCUGUUCUUCCCGUUUUCCAAUCCUUAACUGCCUAAACCAUUUUCGAUGUAGAGUAACUAAGAAAAGUCGCAA